GAUGAACGCUAGCUACAGGCUUAACACAUGCAAGUCGAGGGGAAACGACAUCGAAAGCUUGCUUUUGAUGGGCGUCGACCGGCGCACGGGUGAGUAACGCGUAUCCAACCUGCCCAUCACUUGGGAAUAACCUUGCGAAAGUAAGACUAAUACCCAAUGACAUCCCACGAAGACAUCUGAAUGGGAUUAAAGAUUUAUCGGUGAUGGAUGGGGAUGCGUCUGAUUAGCUUGUUGGCGGGGUAACGGCCCACCAAGGCAACGAUCAGUAGGGGUUCUGAGAGGAAGGUCCCCCACAUUGGAACUGAGACACGGUCCAAACUCCUACGGGAGGCAGCAGUGAGGAAUAUUGGGCAAUGGGCGAGAGCCUGAACCAGCCAAGUAGCGUGCAGGAUGACGGCCCUAUGGGUUGUAAACUGCUUUUAUAAGGGAAUAAAGUGGGUCUCGUGAGACUUUUUGCAUGUACCUUAUGAAUAAGGACCGGCUAAUUCCGUG
rnacentral:rRNA from 1 species